AGUGAACGCUGGCGGCGUGGAUUAGGCAUGCAAGUCGAACGAUCCCGCAAGGGAUAGUGGCAAAAGGGUGAGUAACACGUGAGCAAUUUACCUUCGAGUGGGGAAUAACUCUGCGAAAGCGGGGCUAAAACCGCAUAAGACCACGGCAGGGCAUCCUGCUGUGAUCAAAAGUGGGGACCGCAAGGCCUACUGCUUGAAGAUGAGCUCGCGUCCUAUCAGCUUGUUGGUGAGGUAACGGCCCACCAAGGCUUUUGACGGGUAGCUGGUCUGAGAGGAUGGUCAGCCACAUUGGGACUGAGACACUGCCCAGACUCCUACGGGAGGCUG
rnacentral:rRNA from 1 species